CCUACGGGAGGCAGCAGUGAGGAAUAUUGGUCAAUGGUCGGAAGACUGAACCAGCCAAGCCGCGUGAGGGAUGAAGGUACAGAGUAUCGUAAACCUCUUUUGUCAGGGAACAAAGGCGGGGACGUGUCCCCGGAUGAGUGUACCCGAAGAAAAAGCAUCGGCUAAAUCCGUGCCAGCAGCCGAGGUAAUACGGAGGAUGCGAGCUUUAUCCGGUUUUUUGGGGGUUAAAGGGUGCGCAGGCGGGCUGUUAAGUCAGCGGGCAAAGCCCGGGGCUCAACCCCGGCCCGCCGUUGAAACUGGGGGUCGCGAGUUGGAGAGAAGUAGGCGGAAUGCGCGGUGUAGCGGUGAAAUGCAUAGAUAUCGCGCAGAACUCCGAUUGCGAAGGCAGCAUGCCGGCUCCACACUGACGCUGAGGCACGAAAGCGUGGGUAUCGAACAGGAUUAGAUACCCGAGUAGUC
rnacentral:rRNA from 1 species